rnacentral:lncRNA from 1 species
GUGAUAUGCUCGACAGAUCAAAUAAGAAAUACCCGGGAGUCUAUGUUACUCAUUCUUUACAAAAAUAUAAAAUAAUGAACAAAACAAUUUGACACAAAAUCACAAGUUUUUGAGAAUUUUUCUAAAACAAUUUACAUGAAUGACAUUGCACAUUUGUAAAUUAACAUUUAAAAAGAAUGAAUUUACAAGUUUCAGACACAACUCUGCCUGGAAAAACAACAUUAAAAUUGAACAUUUAA